UGCGGCGCGCUUUUUAUAAGUGUGGAGGGCUUGCUGUAGGCUGCAGAUUAAGCUAAAACACUUACCAGUGUGGUACCUUUCACAUUUGAUUUCUAUAGUUAACAAAAUGUAGCGUUUAACAAAUCCGCUGCAAAAAGAAAGAGCGCAUUUUCCCUGAUGUCUCUCUUCGAGUUGUUUCUUACGAUUAUUGAAAAAUGAGGUGCCUUCAUUAUCCUCGAUAAAAUCGCUUAUUUGGUGGUGUGUGUGUUCUAAUGUAAUUCUAAUGAUCAGGCAAACAUAAGGAAUUGCACUUAGGCUUUGACACUUUAAUCCGCAUACUGGUGAGGGAGAGAAGUCUUAUUGUAAGAGUAGGGUAUCUGGAAGAAAAUGGGAAGCACUGUGAUGGAGUCAAAGAAGACGGAUGGUAAGAAGAAAUGGACAAGAAAGAGGACAACGCUUAGGUUAAACAUGCCGGACCUGAGCUUGUUUGCCAUGCCCUUUCUAGAGGGAGAUGAUGAGCACAAUAGCAAGGAUGGUACACGUAAGGGGGAGAUCAGCUGCCACUCAGCUAGCCCAACUAAAGGAUUUUUCAGCAGGGGUCCAUUUAGCCGGCCUUCUAGCCCUAUGUCUGCUCCAGCGAGGUCCAAAACCAGCCCGGGGUCACCAAGAACCAUCUUCCCUUACCCCUUACAUCAAGAGUCUCCACCUAAAUCACCCCGCCGCCUCAGCUUUUCUGGAAUCUUCCGCUCAUCCUCCAAGGAAUCCUCUUGUACCUCCUUGUCCACUUCCUCUUCUGCCUCUCCUGUCAGUAUUAAACUCUUCUCCCGUGCCAGGAAAGCAUCUGCGAUCUCUUCCCCGCCCACCACUCCUACACAGCUGACCAAACCCUCACCAUUUCCUCUGGAGGAAAACCGCAGUCUCCCUAUGCAUCAGGAGGAACGCUUGCGCUCUCUGUCCUCUCCCCCAGACACGGGCCAGCAUUUCAGCAUGCCCUCAGCCAAGCCACCUCACACCACUUUCUCGGCACCCAUUGCUACCUCACGCAUGGCUCGCGGUUUGUCUGAAGGCAUGCUGGAGAAACUCGAUCUCGAAGAUGAAGUUGUCGAAGAGUCUGAAAGUGAUAUUUACAUGCGCUUUAUGAAGUCCCACAAGUGCUAUGACAUUGUCCCCACUAGUUCCAAGCUGGUGGUGUUUGACACAACGCUACAAGUUAAGAAGGCCUUUUUCGCCUUGGUGGCUAAUGGAGUUCGAGCUGCGCCGCUGUGGGAGACGAAGAAGCAGAGUUUCGUAGGAAUGCUAACAAUCACAGACUUCAUCAAUAUACUUCACAGAUACUACAAGUCACCCAUGGUGCAAAUCUAUGAGCUGGAGGAGCAUAAGAUUGAGACUUGGAGAGAGCUCUAUUUACAAGAAACCUUUAAACCAUUAGUCAACAUAUCACCAGAUGCAAGCAUAUUCGACGCCGUGUAUUCACUAAUCAAGAACAAGAUACACCGCUUGCCCGUUAUCGACCCCGUCAGCGGGAAUGCACUUUAUAUCCUCACACACAAGAGGAUCCUCAAGUUCCUGCAGCUCUUCGUGUGUGAGAUGCCAAAGCCUGCCUUUAUGAAAAAGACCCUGGAAGAACUGGGCAUCGGGACGUACAGCAACAUCGCCUUCAUUCACCCUAACACGCCGAUAAUCAAAGCACUGAGCAUCUUCGUGGAGAGGAGGGUUUCAGCUCUGCCUGUGGUAGACGAGUCCGGAAAGGUUGUAGAUAUUUAUUCCAAGUUUGAUGUCAUUAAUCUUGCUGCUGAAAAGACCUACAAUAACCUGGACAUUAGCGUGACUCAGGCUUUGAUGCACCGCUCCCAGUACUUUGAGGGUGUCAUGAAGUGCAACAGACUGGAGACUCUGGAGACUAUAGUGGACAGGAUAGUCAAAGCUGAGGUGCACAGGCUGGUGGUGGUAGACGAGGCCGGCUGCAUCGUGGGUAUUGUGUCUCUAUCAGACAUCCUGCAGGCCCUGGUCCUCACACCAGCAGGUAUAGACGCUCUUCACUGCUAAAGCUCCUCUCUGUUCGCGGACUCCUCUCUCUUCCCACCCCAACACACACACACAGGUCUGACCAGGAAGGAGAGUGAGGAAGCUGAGUGAUGCACUUCAGGACUGCUAAAUUCUGUCAUGCUGCUGGAAGAGGAAGCGGGACGUAGAUUUGAAGCUGGAGUUUGUUAUGAUUUUGCUGCCCACUGAGGGCUGGCAGAAGGAGGAAAAUGGUACAGGGGUGGAAACUGAAUGCUGCUGAAGGCCAGACGAGGAAACGGAUUGAUGGAGGAAAAGAUGGAUGGGCUAAAGGGGCGACAAGGUGGACCAUCAAGGAUCUCCUCCUCAUAGGGAUUCUGCUGAGUUCGGUGUCUAAAGCUCUUACUGCACGCUCACUAUUACGACAUAUGAAACAUCGCCAUCUGGUGUCUGUUCUUUGUACUACACUCACUAUGGACUGUCCCAUGGUUAUCAUCCUGAGGGGAUUCCUUCUAGUGACAAGCAGUUUAGAACUGGCUUUAUUUAGAGGUAUAUAUAUAUAUUUUUUUCAUUUCCAUGUUCUUUGUUUAUAGCACAGCUUUGGCUUUUGGGUUUACGUGCACAUUUAAAACUGUCCUUUUUGUUCGGUACUAUUUUUAUCCCACUUUAUUGAUAUUCAUCUCCCCCUCUUUCUUUAAAUGGUGCCUUCUGUCCACCAGUUGUCGCCCAUUAUGGAUGGCCAAGAGAAAGCUAGAAUGUUUAAAUGAAACAAAAUGAAUGUCAGAGUAUCUGAAAACCAAAAUGUCCAGAAUGUUGUCAGUGAUUUUAAUAGUUUUAAGUUUAUAUAUCUAUAUAUUUUUUUCUUCUUUUGAAAGGUUUUAUUUCAUUAAGAUGUUUUUGGAAUGAUGCUGUAAACAUAGAUUAAACGUUUUAUUUAUUUGUACUUUAAUUUGUUUAAAUUUUUUUUUUUUAAACGUCAUGUGGGAUGGAAAAAUAUGUUCAGCCCCUAUGCAUUAAAAUAACGUUAUGACUUACGAGUGCAAUUUUAAAACGCAGCCGCUGCCUACAAGCAGUCAUUUUAUUUCUCUCCAGGAAAACCGGAGGCAUGCAACGAAACCCCUCAUACUCCGUAUCAGUUGUACUGUACAUAGGAAGAGCUUGUGAGAUACAAAGUGCCAGAGAAAGGUCUAUUUUUCUGUGCAUUCAAUGUAUGUUUGUAAUAUUACAGAUUUUCAUUUGCAGGUCCUGUCUUUUUUUUUUUCUUUUUUUUUUUUUGUGGCUGUGUUGAUGGUAAAGGUCACUGAUAAAAACAUCAUGUCCACUGAAAAAAUGUAUAUCACUGGCAUGAAGAUUAUACUACAAUGGUUAAACAUUGUGGGUUGAUUUUAUUUUUCCAUUUUGCAGUUUGGAAAACAAUAAAUCAUGCUACUGA